rnacentral:rRNA from 1 species
AUUGAACGCUGGCGGCAUGCUUUACACAUGCAAGUCGGACGGCAGCGCUGGCUUCGGCCUGGCGGCGAGUGGCGAACGGGUGAGUAAUACAUCGGAACGUGCCCAGUAGUGGGGGAUAGCUCGGCGAAAGCCGGAUUAAUACCGCAUACGACCUGAGGGUGAAAGCGGGGGACUUUAGGGCCUCGCGCUAUUGGAGCGGCCGAUGGCAGAUUAGCUAGUUGGUGGGGUAAAGGCCUACCAAGGCGACGAUCUGUAGCUGGUCUGAGAGGACGACCAGCCACACUGGGACUGAGACACGGCCCAGACUCCUACGGGAGGCAGCAGUGGGGAAUUUUGGACAAUGGGCGCAAGCCUGAUCCAGCAAUGCCGCGUGUGUGAUGAAGGCCUUCGGGUUGUAAAGCACUUUUGGCAGGAACGAAAAGUGCCGUGCUAAUACCACGGUACGAUGACGGUACCUGCAGAAUAAGCACCGGCUAACUACGUG